rnacentral:rRNA from 1 species
GAGUAAUGUCUGGGAAACUGCCUGAUGGAGGGGGAUAACUACUGGAAACGGUGGCUAAUACCGCAUAACGUCGCAAGACCAAAGAGGGGGACCUUCGGGCCUCUUGCCAUCAGAUGUGCCCAGAUGGGAUUAGCUUGUUGGUGAGGUAACGGCUCACCAAGGCGACGAUCCCUAGCUGGUCUGAGAGGAUGACCAGCCACACUGGAACUGAGACACGGUCCAGACUCCUACGGGAGGCAGCAGUGGGGAAUAUUGCACAAUGGGCGCAAGCCUGAUGCAGCCAUGCCGCGUGUAUGAAGAAGGCCUUCGGGUUGUAAAGUACUUUCAGCGGGGAGGAAGGUGUUGUGGUUAAUAACCGCAGCAAUUGACGUUACCCGCAGAAGAAGCACCGGCUAACUCCGUGCCAGCAGCCGCGGUAAUACGGAGGGUGCAAGCGUUAAUCGGAAUUACUGGGCGUAAAGCGCACGCAGGCGGUCUGUCAAGUCGGAUGUGAAAUCCCCGGGCUCAACCUGGGAACUGCAUUCGAAACUGGCAGGCUUGAGUCUUGUAGAGGGGGGUAGAAUUCCAGGUGUAGCGGUGAAAUGCGUAGAGAUCUGGAGGAAUACCGGUGGCGAAGGCGGCCCCCUGGACAAAGACUGACGCUCAGGUGCGAAAGCGUGGGGAGCAAACAGGAUUAGAUACCCUGGUAGUCCACGCCGUAAACGAUGUCUACUUGGAGGUUGUGCCCUUGAGGCGUGGCUUCCGGAGCUAACGCGUUAAGUAGACCGCCUGGGGAGUACGGCCGCAAGGUUAAAACUCAAAUGAAUUGACGGGGGCCCGCACAAGCGGUGGAGCAUGUGGUUUAAUUCGAUGCAACGCGAAGAACCUUACCUGGUCUUGACAUCCACAGAACUUUCCAGAGAUGGAUUGGUGCCUUCGGGAACUGUGAGACAGGUGCUGCAUGGCUGUCGUCAGCUCGUGUUGUGAAAUGUUGGGUUAAGUCCCGCAACGAGCGCAACCCUUAUCCUUUGUUGCCAGCGGUUAGGCCGGGAACUCAAAGGAGACUGCCAGUGAUAAACUGGAGGAAGGUGGGGAUGACGUCAAGUCAUCAUGGCCCUUACGACCAGGGCUACACACGUGCUACAAUGGCGCAUACAAAGAGAAGCGACCUCGCGAGAGCAAGCGGACCUCAUAAAGUGCGUCGUAGUCCGGAUUGGAGUCUGCAACUCGACUCCAUGAAGUCGGAAUCGCUAGUAAUCGUGGAUCAGAAUGCCACGGUGAAUACGUUCCCGGGCCUUGUACACACCGCCCGUCACACCAUGGGAGUGGGUUGCAAAAGAAGUAGGUAGCUUAACCUUCGGGAGGGCGCUUACCACUUUGUGAUUCAUGACUGGGGUGAAGUCGUAACAAGGUAACCGUAGGGGAACCUGCGGUUGGAUCACCUCCUUACCUGAAAGAA